rnacentral:lncRNA from 1 species
GCAUUCCAUGUGUUCACUAUGCUUGAUAAUCAAAAUGGAAGGCAUGAUGCUAUACAUAUAUAUGUAUGGUUAUAGCUUCUAAUAGUUUAAUCAAAGCUAGGUAUGGUAGUAUAUCCCUGAGAUCCCAGCUACUCAGGAAGCUGAGACAGUGUGAAAUGAAAAUCAUGCAGGGAAGUUUAGCAAGACUCUAUUUCAAAACAGCAUAAAAUAUCUGAGGAUAUAGCUCAAUGGUGGAGCACUUGGCUAGCAUAUGGAUGACCCUAAGUUGGUUUUUGUUAAAAUUUAACCAGAUAUAAUAAAAGUCCAGCUCAUUAACUUAUAACCUCAAUAUUUACCCUAAAAGCAUCCCUGUUAAUAAGUGACAUUUCUAUUAACUUUCUCUUUAUCUUAUUCCUCAAGCCCAAUUUUUAUUCUCUGUUUUAGUUGUUUGGAUUUUAAUAACAUUUUUAAAAUUGGCUCAUAGGGGAUAAUGGCACAGUUGAAGAAAGUGAUAAGAACUCAAUCACCUGUGUGAAGUAAUUAUGUACACGUUAAGUUAUACUUAACUUAGGAAUUGACAAUAGAAAAUCACCUGCCUCUAAACUUAGCUUACAGGUGCACACGGGACAGGAGAGAGCCUGCAGCUCUGAGGUUCUGUACCCUUCAUUCACAGUCAUUAAGUCCUCAUCUGAUGUGCUAGAGUCAAGAUAUUUGCUUUCAAAUCUAAAUAGGUACUCUCAGAAUUGUAAGAGAUACUCUAUAUUUUGGUCUUCAACCUUCUUUAUGCUGUGACCAUUUAAUAUAGCUCCUCAUGAUGUGGUGAGUCCCAUCCAUAAUAUUAAUUUUGCUUUUAUGGUUAUAAUAUAUAUGCUAUAAUAUAAUAUAUAUGCUAUGGCAUGUAAAUAUGAUAUGCAGGCUAUCUGAUAUGUGAUCCUUAUGAAAUGGUCAUUUGACACCCCCCAAAGGGGACAUGGACUCACAGGUUGAGAAUCAUUGCUCUAUACGAAGUAAAACACCUACCAUUGAAUAGAUAGCCAUUUUAAUUACUUAUCUAUUACUGUGAUAAGACAGUACAAUAAAGGAAACUUAUAAACACUUAUUAGUGCUAAUGGUUUUAGAGAGUGAGAAUCCAUGCUCAUGAGGCAAAAAGAAUGCUAGUAAGAAGUAGUGUGUGGUACCAGGGCAGGAGCUGAGAGAUUACAUCUGAUCCACAAAUAGAAAGCAGAGAAACAGAAAGCUAACUGGGAAUGCCAUGGGCUUUUGAGACCUCAAAACCCACCUAUAGUGACAUAACAUGCCUCCUCUAACAAGGCCACACCUCCUAAUUCUUCCUAAAAUGUUCUGCCAACUCAUUCAAAUAUGAGUCUAUAGGACCAUUCUCAUUCAAACCACCACAAUGGUUGUAUUUAGCUAUAGUAUUUGAUUAUAUGAUGCUUAGUAAUUUUUAUAUCAGUGUAAGCACCAGCAUUUACUUAACGAGCCAGGGUUACCUGAUUAUGGUCAGCAGGAAUGUCAAUCAGGCUAGGUCAGAGGGAUCACAGCAACACUGAGGCUGAGACAAGUUUAUUCCAAUCAAUCAGAUAUCUUAUACAUUUAUCAAAACAGAUAUAAUAAGGGUUUCCAGGAUACAGUGACUGUUGCAAGAAAGACAGGAUACACAAGAUUAAUGUCUAAGACUAAAUGCUCAGCCAAGCUUCUAUAUGCUUUGCUGACUUGAAGACCACAGAAAAACAUGAGCAGCCUAAACCAUUCACUCCCUUAGUGAGUGCCUUGGUUUCCUGGGAACUGAAAGGUGCACAGUGCCCCAGGAGCCAAGGACUCUAAUAUAAAAAGCCUAUAGUGUAUGCUUCUCCAGGCAGCUCGACCAGGCCAACUCUGAGACUCCUUGCAUGUUAGCAAAUAAAAACAUGUAUAUCCCUUUCAACAACUAUAUGCCAUGUGGUAUGUGAAUAGUAUGUACAGUAAUAUGCAUAGCAGACUAAAUAAAUGAUAUAUUUCAUUUAUAAAUGUGUAAAAGUAUAAAGGUUAUACUUUUGUGUGUGCUUUCUAAGUAUUAGUAUCCAUAUGGAAGCGCUAAGUUGUCACCAAAUGUCUUGCUCGGUUCUUCUCCACUUUAUUUAUUGAAGCAGGAUCUCUUGUUAGACCUGGAAUACCCAAGUGGGGCUCAUCUGUCUAGCCAGUUUGCCCCAGGAAUCUCUUAUGUCUAUUUCCCAAGUAAUGAGGAAAGAGGCAGAUGCCAACCCCACCCUGCUUUUACCUGGAUCUGAGGAUCCUCACCUGGUCAUCUUACCUAAGUGCCAAGUGCCUUAUCUACUAAUCUAAAGGAUUGUGGUCAUGGUACAAGUAUACGGCAUGUGCUUACACAGAAAUGCCUGUUUGCCUUCUUGGCAUGAGAAUAACACAUGGCACAAUUUUGUCCCACAGAAUGAUUGAAGAUAGUGGAAAAAGAGGAAACACCAUGGCAGAAAGAAGACAGCUGUUUGCAGAGAUGAGUAAGUAUGGAGCUUUUAAGGAACUCACUUCAGUGUUCAUUGAAUAUUCAUGAGAAGACCAGAAAUAACCAUGUCGUCCUCAGGGCCUCUGGACUUCUCCAUAAAAAUCCUCAGUUCCUUCCAUAACGAUGCAUUUGGCCAUUUUAUUCUCUCAUUAGGUGAGAAUUCAAUUACUCUGCAAUUUAUUAUUAUUUGCUUCUACACUCUCUAUUUCAUAGGUUGUAUUUGUACAUGAGCAGGCACGUUUGACAGCACUGCUCAGUGUUGACUUUAAUACAGUCCACUAGGAUUUGCAGUAUGCACUCACCUGUCUGCAUUACCAAGUGGCUGCCUUAGUAUACAAUUUAUAAAAUACGCCUUUGAAUGUCUACCCUGGAAAAUGACAUAAUGCAUUCAAAUCAGAAAGAAGGAUGAAAUGGGAAUAUGCUGUUGUUUGGACCUCCUUUGGAAGGCAGUUUGUCACCAAAACC